UACAGAGGGUGCAAGCGUUGCUCGGAAUCAUUGGGCGUAAAGGGCAGGUAGGUGGUCUCAUUUGUCUGGGGUGAAAGCCUUCGGCUUAACCGAAGAAGUGCCUCAGAAACGGUGAGACUAGAGUCUUGGAGAGGUUAGCGGAAUUCCCGGUGUAGCGGUGAAAUGCGUAGAGAUCGGGAGGAACACCAGCGGCGAAGGCGGCUAACUGGACAAGUACUGACACUCAGCUGCGAAAGCGUGGGGAGCGAACGGG
rnacentral:rRNA from 1 species